rnacentral:siRNA from 1 species
GCGUCUGUAGUCCAACGGU